rnacentral:rRNA from 1 species
AGUUUGAUCAUGGCUCAGAGUGAACGCUGGCGGCAGGCCUAACACAUGCAAGUCGAACGGCAGCACAGAGGAGCUUGCUCCUUGGGUGGCGAGUGGCGGACGGGUGAGGAAUACAUCGGAAUCUGCCCAGUCGUGGGGGAUAACAUAGGGAAACUUAUGCUAAUACCGCAUACGACCUACGGGUGAAAGCGGGGGAUCGCAAGACCUCGCGCGAUUGGAUGAGCCGAUGUCCGAUUAGCUAGUUGGCGGGGUAAUGGCCCACCAAGGCGACGAUCGGUAGCUGGUCUGAGAGGAUGAUCAGCCACACUGGAACUGAGACACGGUCCAGACUCCUACGGGAGGCAGCAGUGGGGAAUAUUGGACAAUGGGCGCAAGCCUGAUCCAGCCAUGCCGCGUGGGUGAAGAAGGCCUUCGGGUUGUAAAGCCCUUUUGUCCGGAAAGAAAAGCUCGAGGUUAAUACCUUCGGGUUCUGACGGUACCGGAAGAAUAAGCACCGGCUAACUUCGUG